AUGGAUCACCAUCUGCAUUCUUCGAUGACAUUGAAUCAACGUUUGAGAUUAAUUCUUUUAUUCUUUUUUUUUUUUAAUUAUUUUUUUUGUGAGAUCUACGAUUCGAGAAGCAAGAGAGAGAGAAGAGAUGGAGUUUGUAGAUGGCAGAGAAAGGAGAUGACGCGACGUCACCACCACCACCAUCGCUGGUUACUAUCACCACCAUCGCCAUCUCUCCCAUCCCCAAUCGCUCGUCACCACCACCACUGCUGGUGCAGCAUACAGGGAAGGCAUCGCCAUCCUGCAUCCGACAGUGUAGUGAACGAAAAGUACCUUAACGCGGGUUCUGGGAAUGAUCUCACUGAGGAAAAUAUGCGCGCGGGCACUCCUAAAUGUUGCAGCUGAGCAGCCAGAUAUGGAGAGGCUCCUUCAGAAACAUUUUACUUGCUUUGGAGGACGUCAACACGCUCUACAAACAAUCAGACACGCUCCUUAAGUUGUCCCAUACUCAAGUUCGUUUAUGCUUUAUAUGGUUUGAGUUGAGUUAAAGUUCCUUUCUUUAAUUAUGUGUGUUGCAGAAGUCCAAGAGGGAUGACUCUUCCAAAACUAUGUCCCAACGUUUGCAAAGUGGUGGUCGUGACUCGUGAGCAAGAGCUAGUGUUGUGCAGAGGAGAUGUCUGGAACUCGUCUCCGUCUAGACUCACACGAAUGUUGCAGUCUCUCACUGGAAUUGCCAAGUGCAGCCUUUGAAGGUAUUGUGACAGUAAAGACUGAGACUUUCUUCUUCUCAGAGUUUUGCUUAUGUCUGCUGAUUCAAUUUUUUUUUUUUUUUUGAUAACUGUAAAUUAUAUUUCCAAAAUAAAAUUGGUUACAUGAGCUUCAAGAGCAGAGUACUUCUAUGGCCAAAAAAAAUUAAAAACCAGUGAGAAGCUAAGAGUUUGGUGCAGCAAAUUGUUAGCUAAGGUUAGCUAUACUUGAACCAUAAGGAGAGUAAGGUUGUACACCCCUUGUUGCGUCGUCUUGCUAGAAGAAUGUCCUCCGUAACCCUAUCAAUCCUGUUAAAGAUAGCUAGGGGAGUUGAUGGAGGUCUUCCAUGUUUCCUAUCAUUUCUUUCUCUCCAUAUGUGAUAGACUGUACCUUGACAGACAAUUAAACUGAGAAGCCUUCUCCUUGGUGACCAUCUCUGCUGGAGAAGCCACCCAAUCAUUGCUUGCCAAGAGGUAAAGAAUGUACGUGGAGCUCCCAACCUCUGUUUCACACGAUCCAUAUCUCCACUGCAAACCUGCAACGCAAGAGCAAACGAUCCCUAGUUUCCUCAUCAGUGGAGCAAAAAGUACAGGUUCCAAUAUCCAUCAAACCCCAUUGCACCAGUCGCUCAUUCACCGGCAACCUAUCAAGGUUAGCCACCCAGAAGUUAAAGGCGUGUUUAGGAACCAUGUUUUUGAACCAAACCACUUUUGACCACAUUAAAUCUUUAACCACUUAAGAAAGCGCUAUUAUACAUAACAGUUUUACGACCGCUAUUACUACUGCAUAACAGAAUAUAACUGUGUAAUUGGUUAUCUACUCUAUUA